AUUGAACGCUGGCGGCAGGCUUAACACAUGCAAGUCGAGCGGAGAUGAGGUGCUUGCACCUUAUCUUAGCGGCGGACGGGUGAGUAAUGCUUAGGAAUCUGCCUAUUAGUGGGGGACAACAUUCCGAAAGGAAUGCUAAUACCGCAUACGUCCUACGGGAGAAAGCAGGGGAUCUUCGGACCUUGCGUUAAUAGAUGAGCCUAGGUCGGAUUAGCUAGUUGGUGGGGUAAAGGCCUACCAAGGCGACGAUCUGUAGCGGGUCUGAGAGGAUGAUCCGCCACACUGGGACUGAGACACGGCCCAGACUCCUACGGGAGGCAGCAGUGGGGAAUAUUGGACAAUGGGGGGAACCCUGAUCCGGCCAUGCCGCGUGUGUGAAGAAGGCCUUAUGGUUGUAAAGCACUUUAAGCGAGGAGGAGGCUACUGAGACUAAUACUCUUGGAUAGUGGACGUUACUCGCAGAAUAAGCACCGGCUAACUCUGUGCCAGCCGCCGCGGUAACAC
rnacentral:rRNA from 1 species